rnacentral:misc_RNA from 1 species
GAUGAAGAACUUAGCGAAAUGCGAUAAGUAAUGGGAAUUGCAGAAUUCAGUGAAUCAUCGAAUCUUUGAACGCACAUUGCGCCCCCUGGUAUUCCGGGGGGCAUGCCUGUCCGAGCGUCAUUACAACCCUCAAGCUCAGCUUGGUGUUGGGCCCCGCCGCCCCGGCGGGCCCUAAAGUCAGUGGCGGUGCCGUCCGGCUCCGAGCGUAGUAAUUCUUCUCGCUCUGGAGGUCCGGUCGUGUGCUCGCCAGCAACCCCCAAUUUUUUUCAGGUUGACCUCGGAUCAGGUAGGGAUACCCGCUGAACUUAAGCAUAUCAAUAAGCGGAGGA